CAACCGGAGUUACGGCCUCACGCUGUAGAGCGCUAAUCGUGUUUUGACGAGGAAACUGCUCUUUGGCUCGAGGCCAUUCAGUUCCUCCCGGAAUCGAGCGACGUGCAAGCGCUGGUCGCUUAUUACAAUCAAAUAAAGCUUUAGAUCAGCCCCGAACGAACGGAUUUCGUCUGUGUGGAGAACUACAAACGAUCUGCGCGCUAUCUGGACUUUGGUCAGAUUGUUAAAUUACAGAUGGAUCGAACUGUGUUUCUCCUGCUGUCUGCGCUCCUUUACGUCAUUCUGGCGACAAAGGAGACUGCUCAGACCGACUGCCAGGUGGUCAGAUGCGCCGGAGUUGAAGAAGGAAUGUGUCCCGGAAAAUACACUCCGGCUGACCCCAGUGUCGGCAAAUGUUGUUCAUCUUGCUUGGUGUUCAAAGAGUUGGGGGAGUCGUGUGUGUCGAAUAAUUUCGCUAUGCAGUUCUUGUGCCAGAGUCCGUACGUCUGCAAGAACGACGUGUGUUCGGAGUGACUCUAACGUGAUCGGACACACAUUGGCGCCUGUGCGAAUGAACUUGCUUGGAGCUGCACACGAUUAAAAUGUAUUUCAGCUUCUAAAAUAUACGUUUUAUUCCGCAGAA